rnacentral:rRNA from 1 species
CUAGUAAUCGUGGAUCAGCAUGCCACGGUGAAUACGUUCCCGGGUCUUGUACACACCGCCCGUCACACCAUGGGAGUCGGUAACACCCGAAGUCAGUAGUCUAACCGCAAGGAGGACGCUGCCGAAGGUGGGAUUGACGACUGGGGUGAAGUCGUAACAAGGUACC